rnacentral:miRNA from 1 species
UGAGGCAGGAGAAUUGCUUGAACCCAGGAGGUGGAGGUUGCAGUGAGCCGAGAUUGCACCACUGCACUCCAGCCUGGGUGACAGAGUGAGACUCCAUCUC